AGAGUUUGAUCCUGGCUCAGGAUGAACGCUGGCGGCGUGCUUAACACAUGCAAGUCGAACGAAGCACUUGAUUUGAUUUUCUUCGGAGAUGAAGAUCCUGUGACUGAGUGGCGGACGGGUGAGUAACGCGUGGGCAACCUGCCUUGUACAGGGGGAUAACAGUUAGAAAUGACUGCUAAUACCGCAUAAGACCACAGCAUCACAUGAUGCAGGGGUAAAAACUGAGGUGGUACAAGAUGGGCCCGCGUCUGAUUAGCUGGUUGGUGAGGUAACGGCUCACCAAGGCGACGAUCAGUAGCCGACCUGAGAGGUUGAACGGCCACAUUGGGACUGAGACACGGCCCAGACUCCUACGGGAGGCAGCAGUGGGGAAUAUUGCACAAUGGGGGAAACCCUGAUGCAGCGACGCCGCGUGGAGGAAGAAGGUCUUCGGAUUGUAAACUCCUGUUGUUGAGGAAGAUAAUGACGGUACUCAACAAGGAAGUGACGGCUAACUACGUGCCAGCAGCCGCGGUAAAACGUAGGUCACAAGCGUUGUCCGGAAUUACUGGGUGUAAAGGGAGCGCAGGCGGGAAGACAAGUUGGAAGUGAAAUCUAUGGGCUCAACCCAUAAACUGCUUUCAAAACUGUUUUUCUUGAGUAGUGCAGAGGUAGGCGGAAUUCCCGGUGUAGCGGUGGAAUGCGUAGAUAUCGGGAGGAACACCAGUGGCGAAGGCGGCCUACUGGGCACCAACUGACGCUGAGGCUCGAAAGUGUGGGUAGCAAACAGGAUUAGAUACCCUGGUAGUCCACACCGUAAACGACGAUUACUAGGUGUUGGAGGAUUGACCCCUUCAGUGCCGCAGUUAACACAAUAAGUAAUCCACCUGGGGAGUACGACCGCAAGGUUGAAACUCAAAGGAAUUGACGGGGGCCCGCACAAGCAGUGGAGUAUGUGGUUUAAUUCGACGCAACGCGAAGAACCUUACCAAGUCUUGACAUCCUGCGACGAUGCUGGAAACAGUAUUUUCCUUCGGGACGCAGAGACAGGUGGUGCAUGGUUGUCGUCAGCUCGUGUCGUGAGAUGUUGGGUUAAGUCCCGCAACGAGCGCAACCCUUACUGUCAGUUACUACGCAAGAGGACUCUGGCAGGACUGCCGUUGACAAAACGGAGGAAGGUGGGGAUGACGUCAAAUCAUCAUGCCCUUUAUGACUUGGGCUACACACGUACUACAAUGGCGUUAAACAAAGAGAAGCAUGACCGCGAGGUGGAGCAAAACUCAGAAACAACGUCCCAGUUCGGACUGCAGGCUGCAACUCGCCUGCACGAAGUCGGAAUUGCUAGUAAUCGUGGAUCAGCAUGCCACGGUGAAUACGUUCCCGGGCCUUGUACACACCGCCCGUCACACCAUGAGAGCCGGGGGGACCCGAAGUCGGUAGUCUAACCGCAAGGAGGACGCCGCCGAAGGUAAAACUGGUGAUUGGGGUGAAGUCGUAACAAGGUA
rnacentral:rRNA from 1 species